rnacentral:rRNA from 1 species
UGGGGAAUUUUGGACAAUGGGCGAAAGCCUGAUCCAGCAAUGCCGCGUGUGUGAAGAAGGCCUUCGGGUUGUAAAGCACUUUUGUCCGGAAAGAAAUCCUUGGCUCUAAUACAGUCGGGGGAUGACGGUACCGGAAGAAUAAGCACCGGCUAACUACGUGCCAGCAGCCGCGGUAAUACGUAGGGUGCAAGCGUUAAUCGGAAUUACUGGGCGUAAAGCGUGCGCAGGCGGUUUGCUAAGACCGAUGCGAAAUCCCCGGGCUCAACCUGGGAACUGCAUUGGUGACUGGCAGGCUAGAGUAUGGCAGAGGGGGGUAGAAUUCCACGUGUAGCAGUGAAAUGCGUAGAGAUGUGGAGGAAUGCCGAUGGCGAAGGCAGCCCCCUGGGCCAAUACUGACGCUCAUGCACGAAAGCGUGGGGGAGCAAACAGGAUUAGAUACCCUGGUAGUCCACGCCCUAAACGAUGUCAACUAGUUGUUGGGGAUUCAUUUUCCUUAGUAACGUAGUUAACGCGUGAAGUUGACCGCCUGGGGAGUACGGU